UACGGGGGGAGCAAGCGUUGUUCGGAUUUACUGGGCGUAAAGGGCGCGUAGGCGGCCACCGCAAGUCGACUGUGAAAUCUCCGGGCUUAACUCGGAAAGGUCAGCCGAUACUGCGGGGCUAGAGUGCAGAAGGGGCAACUGGAAUUCUCGGUGUAGCGGUGAAAUGCGUAGAUAUCGAGAGGAACACCUGCGGCGAAGGCGGCUCACUGGUCCGGUACUGACGCUGAGGUGCGAAAGCGUGGGGAGCAAACAGG
rnacentral:rRNA from 1 species